rnacentral:rRNA from 1 species
UACGUAGGGUGCAAGCGUUAUCCGGAAUCACUGGGCGUAAAGCGUGCGUAGGUGGAUGUUUAAGUGUGAUGUUAAAUCGUGGGGCUCAACCCUGUCGAUGCAUCGCAUACUGUACGUCUAGAGGGAAGCAGAGGCAAGUGGAAUUGGUAGUGUAGCAGUGAAAUGCGUAGAUAUUACCAGGAACACCAAUGGCGAAGGCAGCUUGCUGGGCUUCUUCUGACACUGAGGUACGAAAGCGUGGGGAGCGAACAGG